GUGCAAUUGUCACAUGGGUCUGAUGUAUUCCGAUGAAACCUUCACGGGAAUGGACAAUUCUCAAUGGAGUCUAUGUAUAGAGCGUUAAUCCGGCCUGAUGUGCCAGUUUAUAAUAAGAAGAAGAUCUGGAAGAUGAAGAUACCUCUUAAGAAUAAAAUCUUUGCAUGGUAUCUUCGUCGCGGAGUCAUUCUUACUAAAGAUAAUAUUAUUAAGAGGAAUUGGCAUGGAAGUCCGCAAUAUGUCUUUUGUCACCAUGAUGAGACAAUAAAACAUUUAUUCUUUCAAUGCAAAUUGGCUUGUUCUAUAUGGUCAGUCAUCCAAAUAGCUUCUGGCUUGUAUCCUCCUUAUAGUGUUGCUAAUAUAUUUGGCAACUGGUUACAUGAGAUUGACCACAGGUUUAGAACUCUUCUCAGGGUGGGAGCGCUUGAUGUUAUUUGGUCGCUUUGGCUAUGUAGAAAUGAUGUUUUUAACGAUAGAAGUACUUCUCUGAUGCAGGUUAUCUACAGAUGUACUGGGACUCUUCGUUUAUGGUCCUCUCUACAACGCGUCGAAAAUCGAGACCUAUUUACGAAGAUGUGUACAUGA
rnacentral:rRNA from 1 species